CAAAGUCUGGACCUUGAUCUGGAAGCCAGAUUUCUACAUAUUUCUACAUCUUUCUACAUAUAAAUGAAAUCAUAUGAUGUUUGCCUUUCUCUGGACUUGCUUCACCUCACAAUACCCUAUUGGCCCAUCCAUGUUGUGCCAAAUGACUAGUUUUCAUUCUUUUUAUGGCAGAGUAAUAUUUCAUUGUAUAUAUGGACAUCGUCUUUACAGGAUUAGGAGCUUAUAUCUGCUAUGGGUUUACAAGUCUGGGAGCUUGAAGAAAAAGUUUUUCUAAUCCUUCUCAGCCAUAUUUCCUGUGAGGUUAGUGUGUAUAGAAUGUUAUCUAGAGAAUACAGCACAAAGACAGUUAGUGUAACUGGGAAGGAAGAAAUUCGGAGAGUGCGAAAAUAAGCAAUAAUAAGUUAUGAACAAUAUUAAAUAUUAUCCUACUGAAAAUAUCACAAAAUUUCUUAGCUCAAAAAUGCAUGUAAAUUGUGUUGCCACACAUAUGCCUCAGGUUUCUGAUGCUCAGGCUGAGUACCUGUUCCUGACCCCUACACAAAAGCCAGGAGUGUCAGGUUGAGGUUCAUGGCAGCUCUGCCUGCCAGCUCACUGCUCAGCCCACAGGCUGGUCAUGUCCCUUCCACAGCUGGUUGUGCCCCGUUGAGACUAUUGCUGCCAAGGGGCCAGGACUCAGUCCAGAGCACUCAGCUGCACGUUACUGCCCUGAGUUCCCCAGCACCUGCCUCUGAUGUCAGCUCAGAGCCUCUGCUGUGCCUGCUUCCUGCUCAGGCAACACACGUGCCCAGUGGGGACCACCGAACCAAGAGGGAAACUAACAGAGACAAAUUCCCUACUGCCUGUGCGGGAAGCAGGAUCUCUCUGUGAUAAUCAGGAUCUGUGGCAGGACACAGUGCUCAUAGACCUGCCUUCUGAGAAAGCUCCAGAGACCCUGACUAUACAGGCACGCAUGCCCAGAGGCCAUUUCUGGAAGGUGAAUGGCCAUCCUGCCUGGAUUCCUGUCAGCUAAUGUCCAAGAGGAAACAGAUCCCACUCUAGCUGAUUAGCCAGCAAUCUCCAGAUCCCAGGAUAAACUGGAGAGAGAUCAGGAGUCUCUGGGAUCUGCUGUUUCCAGGAACUUUGUUGUACCCUGGACAAUAAAAGUGACUUCAUCGACAUUGGUCAUUGCACAAAACACAGAAAUCAUCGACAUCUGUAAGGGAUGUAAGAAGAACCACCAUGAGGUCCAGGUGGGGACCAGGACUCUAGGAGCCUCUAAUCUUGACCACCAUCACCUCAACCAGCAAGGACUUACACAGGUGGGUUUCAUUGCACUUUUGUCUCUUCGCCAGGGGACAUCUCUUUGGAAUCUAUAAAACUGGAAGCCAGUGUGUAAUUUGUGUCCCUUGGGUCAGUUCUCUUGCUACUUAGUUUAUGUGAGACCAUUAUUCUGGGGUCAGGCUGUGUGGGUCGGGAGUGUGAUGCUGUUAUACAUUGUGUAGAACUCGAUCUAUACAUUUUCU